UACGUAGGGCGCGAGCGUUGUCCGGAAUUAUUGGGCGUAAAGAGCUCGUAGGCGGCCGGUUGCGUCUGCUGUGAAAUCCCGGGGCUUAACCCCGGGCGUGCAGUGGAUACGGGCCGGCUGGAGGCAGGCAGGGGAGAAUGGAAUUCCCGGUGUAGCGGUGAAAUGCGCAGAUAUCGGGAGGAACACCGGUGGCGAAGGCGGGUCUCUGGGCCGAUAUUGACGCUGAGGAGCGAAAGCGUGGGGAGCGAACAGG
rnacentral:rRNA from 1 species